rnacentral:lncRNA from 1 species
UCAAUUUCUUCUUCAGCUGCAAUGCUUUGCGGCCAUGGACGUUUCGCUCUUGCUCAAGAAGCUUGAUUGUCUCCGGCAGUUGGCUUUCUUCUUGUCGGGCUUGGGACAGGGCAUCCUCUAUUUGCUUGAGUUCUUCCAGCAGAGUUUCUCUUCUUGUCGAUAAGUCAGAAAUCUUUUGCUUCAGUGCAUCUCCCGAGGACUUCAAGGUGCCGAUGUUCUUGUGCUUUUCAUUGGUAAGAAGCUUUUCUUUCA